rnacentral:misc_RNA from 1 species
AAGUCGUAACAAGGUUUCCGUAGGUGAACCUGCGGAAGGAUCAUUAACACAAUUUUGAUUCACAAAUCUCUUUGCUUCGUUGUCUUUUUUCUCUAGAUGCAAGAAAUUGCAUCUAGAGAGAAGAGCAACAAGCAAUUAACCCCCUUUCUAUGACGAAAAAUCUUUACAAAAGAAUGGAAGAAAAAGGAAUGUGUUUCGUCACAAUCCGUUUCAACCGUUUUUUUCCUUUACCCAAUUUUUUUUACCCCUUUUACAACCUGUAAUAGACUGAAAACAAAAAUCAUAUUCUAGAUCUCUAGAAUCUAAAACUAAGAAAACAACUCUUAGCAACGGAUCUCUUGGUUCUG